rnacentral:rRNA from 1 species
CACGUAGGGUGCGAGCGUUGUCCGGAAUUAUUGGGCGUAAAGAGCUCGUAGGCGGUUCGGUAAGUCAGGUGUAAAAACUCCAGGCUCAACUUGGAGAGGCCACCUGAUACUGCCGUGACUAGAGUCCGGUAGAGGAGCACGGAAUUCCUGGCGUAGCGGUGAAAUGCGCAGAUAUCAGGAGGAACACCAGCGGCGAAGGCGGUGCUCUGGGCCGGAACUGACGCUGAGGAGCGAAAGCGUGGGGAGCGAACAGG